rnacentral:rRNA from 1 species
UAGGGAAUCUUCCACAAUGGACGCAAGUCUGAUGGAGCAACGCCGCGUGAGUGAAGAAGGUCUUCGGAUCGUAAAACUCUGUUGUUAGAGAAGAACACGAGUGAGAGUAACUGUUCAUUCGAUGACGGUAUCUAACCAGCAAGUCACGGCUAACUACGUGCCUG